CGAAAGCCUGACGGAGCAACGCCGCGUGCGGGAGGACGGCCUGUGGGUUGUAAACCUCUUUUCUCAGGGAAGAAGCUCUGACGGUACCUGAGGAAUCAGCCUCGGCUAACUCCGUGCCAGCAGCCGCGGUAAUACGGAGGAGGCAAGCGUUAUCCGGAAUUAUUGGGCGUAAAGCGUCCGCAGGUGGCGAUUCAAGUCUGCUGUCAAAGCACGGGGCUUAACUCCGUAAAGGCAGUGGAAACUGAAUAGCUAGAGUGCCGUAGGGGUAGAGGGAAUUCCCGGUGUAGCGGUGAAAUGCGUAGAUAUUGGGAAGAACACCAGUGGCGAAGGCGCUCUACUGGGCCACAACUGACGCUGAGGGACGAAAGCUAGGGGAGCG
rnacentral:rRNA from 1 species